UAAUAAACUUCUAAAUUGUAG
rnacentral:piRNA from 1 species